rnacentral:snoRNA from 1 species
CUGCUGUGAUGACUCUCUUAGGACACCUUUGGAUUUAAUUGUGAAAAAAAAAGCGUAAUUUCUGAGCAGC